AUGGGAGAGGUUGCCGAGAGCAGGGCUGGCAACCUGUUGGGUCCCUGGCAGGUACAAAGAGAAGGAGGGAGGGGGCCGGAGGGGUGCUGGGUGUUGGGGGGAGGAGUGAGUACUUCCCAGCGGGGCUCAUAGUGCUGCCAGAUUCAGUGGAUAGAAAUGCAGGAUGAGGAGUUCCCUUGUGGCUCAGUGGGUUAAGAACCCGACUAGCAUGUGUGAGGAUCUAUGAGGAUUCGGGUUCAAUCCCUGGCCUUGCUCAGUGGGUUAAGGAUGCAGUGUUGCUGCAAGAUGACGUGGCUUGGAUCUGGCGGUGCUGUGGCUCUGACGUAGGCAGCUGCAGCUCCAAUUCAACCCCUAGCUCCGGAAACAUCCAUAGGCCACAGGUGCAGCCGUAAAAAGAAAGAAAAAAGACAUGCAGGAUGCCCAGCUCAAUCUCAGCCUAGCCCCCAGCGUGGCCCAGAAGGACCUCCAACAGAUUAAGGUUUAAACAGAAGAGGACUGGACAAUCUCAACAGAUACAGAAAAGCCCUCCGCUGGCCUCCCCCCCAGGAGGACCCCACCAACAGGGGUCCCACUGAAUAAUUACCCUCGGGAUGUGAUGGGCUGACACUGCCUCCUGACGUCGACGGCUGAGAAAGAUGCUCUUUUUCUAUCCCUCAAACGGUCAACUUUUUCGUUUGUUUUUGUUUGUUUUUGCUUUUUUUAAGGCCGCACCCCAGACACAUAGAGGUCCCCAGGCUAAGGGUUGCAUUGGAGCUACAGCUGCCUGCCUACACCACAGCCUCAGCAACGCCAGAUCCAAGUCGCGUCUGAGACCUACACCACAGCUCACAGCAAUGCCGGAUCCUUAACCCACUGAGUAAGGCCAGGGAUCGAACCUGCAUCCUCGUGGAUGCUAGUCAGAUGGGUUAACUGCUGAGCCACGCCGGGAAUUCCUGGUCGGUCAAAUUUCCUCACUGCUCUUUCUUUUUCAAAGUCCUGUGUCUGCUUGGGGUGACCUCACGGUAAUUUUCCUAUGGAAGGAGGCUUCUGAGAGGAUAAGGACUCUGACACCUGUUUAGAGAGAGGGGUUCCUGAUUCUGGGGUCCGAGGAGGGCUUCCGAGGGUCUGGGGACCACCUGCAAUUGUCCAGCAAACAAUGCGUCCACGCACACGGAUAGGCAUCUAUUGUCCCCCCAGAAAGGGAGUCGCUAGUUUUCAGCAGAAGUUCAAGGGGAAACUGUAUCCCAGAGAAGAGUAGCAAAUGUUCACGGAGAAGCAGUGGAUACCCGAGGUCCCUGGCCUGGAGCUCAUGACCCCUUAGGGUCUAUGGAGACAAUUCAGGAAGCCCAGGAGCUGAGACCAGGUCAAUUUCAAUCUUUAGUUCAUAGCUAUUUCUCCACUCUAUUAAAACCAUUGCAGGUAUCUCGAAAUAUUCCUAGCACUCGUCAUUCCUCAGAAAUUACGGUGUCUCUAUCACAUCUUUCUGGACUCCACGUUGGUACUCCCCUCCUGUAAGGGAUAAAAACCCCUAUAGGACAAUGUGGGGUGGGGAGGGCUCUUCUUCCGCCUCCCAGCUGUCCUGGGAGCUGUUGCUUUCCUAUCAUAAAGACUUCGCUUGCUUAAAAAAAAAAAUCCAGAAAUCGCGGUGGUUUUAAACCAGCAACUAUGCUGUCUUUAAUGCAUUAAUAAAGAAGCUCAUAUACCC
rnacentral:lncRNA from 1 species